rnacentral:lncRNA from 1 species
UGGUGUGGAGUCUUCAUAAAGCUAGAUAACCGAAAGUAAAAAUAACCCCAUACACUGCGCAGAGGGGCCCCUGGAAAGCUGGCGGCACGGGCGGGCGGGAGGCCUAAGGGAGGGGCUAAAGCCGUGAGGACCCACGGGCCGUGGGAGGCGAGAAGAGGACCCGGCGGCCCUCGGGCCUCAAGACCGCACCGGCUGGGGCGUCUUUCCACCCUCCAACUUCGGUCCGCGCAGGAAAUUUCAUGAUCUUGCUUAUUCCUGUCUUGGAAAAUCCUUUCCAAUGUCUAACCAAGAUCUGUACUGCUGAAGUACCAGUUCUUUGACCUAUGGCUUGACAUGGCUGAUUUGAGAGGUACAGCUUCCCACCACCCAGGAAGGAAGGAACUGGCCUGGAUUUUGGCAACCUCUUGCUUGUACCAAAAAGAAGAACCUACUUCAUCCAGUUGGCUUCAGUGCCCUGUGAGAAGCCUUCCUGAUUGACGGAAAGAUGAGACUAAAUUCUAGCAAGUUGAGUGGCUCCUUCAAGAAGCCUGUGUGCAGGGUAGAAGUGGAGAGGCCAUAGCCUCCAGCCUGGGCAGCCCAUUGGCACCUGGAGCCACCUCAACUUUGCCUCCCCUUUGCUCCUGUGUCUAUAAGCUGCCCAGCCCAGCCCGUCCUGGUUUCUCCUGUGUCUUCUGAGCUGAGAUUUCUCUGAGAUGGAAGCCCCAUCCCAUGUCUAAUAAAGACUCUUGAAUACUGAA